UCUCUCUUGGCCACACCAUGAAACCAUUUCUUGGCAUGGGAAAUGUUAAAAAUUCCAAGCUUCAAGAGGCCAAGGUUCUCUUCAUAUUCUUCUUCUUCAUCUUGCUACAACUUUGGAGAACUUGAUUGGUUGGAGGUUGGAGAGAGAGCUCUAGAGUGGAGUGGCUUCUUCUCUAUAGCUAUUUGUGAUAUCUCAAGAAGGGUUGAUUUGGCUUUGGGAGUGGGUUAAAGUGGGAGCUAUUCCAAGGUUUCCGCCCUGUGGGUUCUCAGUUGUUUGUCCACUAUCGGGCUGAGUUCGGGGUGUGACAUGUGAGGUGUCGAAUUAAAGCAAUAUAUAAUUUGGGUAAACUACCCAGAUAGUCCCUAAACU